rnacentral:pre_miRNA from 1 species
GAUUUCAACUGAAAAAGUCAUCAAUAACAAAGUGGUAUAACUCAUCAAUAUCAAUAACUUUUAUUUGAGCCAUUUCUUCAUCCGACAAAGUGAUUUGUAUCAUUGUUCACAAAAUGUACAUAUCUCUUAUAUAGUUUAUCUCAUAUAUAGUUUAUACACUAUAUAAGAGAUAUGUAAAUUUUAUGAAUAAUGUUACUAUCACUUUAUCGGAUGAAGAAAUGACCCAAAUAAAAGUUAUAUAUAUUGAUGAGUUAUACAACUUCGUUGUUGAUGACUUUUUCAGUUGAAAUC